rnacentral:rRNA from 1 species
AUGAGGAGGAGGAGGCCGCCGUCAUUGUCGAGGAGGAGGAGGAUUGCCGUUAUGCGGUGGAGGCCGUGCAAGAGGAUCCUGCCCUUGAUGACUGCCCGGAUUAAAAACCCAAAACACACUUCAUCGAGUGCUCUACCUGCUCCAUUGAGUGAGAUAUCCAGCACGACUACGUGUAGAUCCCAUAUGAGAAGGAGGAGAGAGCUCACCCAUGCUGGCCACCACGUGCUACCCGUCGCCUCGCUGCAAAGGAGGCAUGGGAUGAGCGCUAUGCCGCCUAUACCUUUGUCGCCUGCCCCGGUGAAACCUUCAAUCACACCGCCACCGGAAAGGCGUUAA